CCCUCAAGCGUAGCUUGGUAUUGGAUGCUCGCGGGCCCUCUUAUAGGGGCUCGCGUGUCCGAAAAGCAGUGGCGGUCCCCGAGGAUUUCGCGCGUAGUAAACUAUCAUCCCGCGUUGGAAAGAAUCGAUGGGCCCUGCCAAAACCCCCCAUAAUCUCCAUAAUUGACCUCGGAUCAGGUAGGGAUACCCGCUGAACUUAA
rnacentral:misc_RNA from 1 species